UACGAAGGUCCCAAGCGUUGUUCGGAAUCACUGGGCGUAAAGGGCGCGUAGGCGGCAUGACAAGUCGGGAGUGAAAGCCCGGGGCUCAACCCCGGAACGGCUUUCGAAACUGUCAAGCUAGAGUGCGGAAGAGGCAACUGGAAUUCCCAGUGUAGCGGUGAAAUGCGUAGAUAUUGGGAAGAACACCUGAGGCGAAGGCGGGUUGCUGGGCCGACACUGACGCUGAUGCGCGAAAGCCAGGGGAGCAAACGGG
rnacentral:rRNA from 1 species